AUUCGUUGGAUGAAUGUGAGGCAUUGGAUUGAUUUCGUUCAAUCCGAGCCUCACAUUCAUCAGGGAUUCGU
rfam:Nicotiana sylvestris Nsyl_contig178374, whole genome shotgun sequence.